rnacentral:rRNA from 1 species
GUCCACGCCGUAAACGAUGGGCACUAGGUGCUUCGGGGAGCGACCCUCGGAGUGCCGGCGCUAACGCAUUAAGUGCCCCGCCUGGGGAGUACGGCCGCAAGGCUGAAACUCAAAGGAAUUGACGGGGGCCCGCACAAGCAGUGGAGCAUGUGGUUUAAUUCGACGCAACGCGAAGAACCUUACCUGGGCUUGACAUGUAUGGGAAAGCCGCCAGAAACGGCGGCCCUCCUUCGGGACCCAUGCACAGGUGCUGCAUGGCUGUCGU